rnacentral:lncRNA from 1 species
AUGAAGAGCUUUGAGAGACUAGUCAAGGACCAUAUCACCUCCACCCUAUCUGACACCCUAGACCCACUCCAAUUUGCUUACCGCCCCAAUAGGUCCACAGACGACGCAAUCGCAAUCACACUGCACACUGCCCUAACCCCUUUGGACAAGAGGAAUAUCUAUGUAAGUAUGCUGUUCAUCGAUUACAGCUCAGCAUUUAACACCAUAGUACCCUCCAAACUCGUCAUUAAGCUCGAGACCCUGGGUCUCGACCCCGCCCUGUGCAACUGGGUCCUGGACUUUCUGACGGGCCGCCCCCAGGUGGUGAGGGUAGGUAACAACAUCUCCACCCCGCUGAUCCUCAACACUGGGGCCCCACAAGGGUGCGUUCUCAGCCCUCUCCUGUACUCCCUGUUCACCCAUGACUGUGUGGCCAUGCACGCCUCCAACUCAAUCAUCAAGUUUGCAGACGAUACUACAGUGGUAGGCUUGAUUACCAACAACGACAAGACGGCCUACAGGGAGGAGGUGAUGGCCCUCGGAGUGUGGUGUCAGGAAAAUAACCUCACACUCAAUGUCAACAAAACAAAGGAGAUGAUCGUGGACUUCAGGAAACAGCAGAGGGAACAGCCCCCUAUCCACAUUGACAGGACAGCAGUGGAGAGCGUGGAAAGUUUUAAGUUCCUUGGCGUACACAUCACAGACAAACUGAAAUGGUCCACCCACACAGACACCGUGGCGAAGAAGGAGCAGCAGCGCCUCUUCAAACUCAGGAGGCUGAAGAAAUUCGUCUCGUCACCAAAAACACUCACAAACUUUUACAGUUGCACAAUCGAGAGCAUCUUGUCGUGCUGUAUCACCGCCUGGUACGGCAACUGCUCCGCCCAUAACCGUAAGGCUCUCCAGAGGGUAGUGAGGUCUGCACAACGCAUCACCGGAGGCAAACUAGCUGCGCUCCAGGACACCUACACCCCCCGAUGUCACAGGAAGGCCAAAAAGAUCAGCAAGGACAACAACCACCCGAGCCACUGCCUGUUCACCGCGCUAUCAUCCAGAAGGCGAGGUCAGUACAGGUGCAUCAAAGCGGGGACCGAGAGACUGAAAAACUCAAGGCCAUCAGACUGUUAA